UACGAAGGGGGCUAGCGUUGUUCGGAAUUACUGGGCGUAAAGCGCACGUAGGCGGUUAUUUAAGUCAGGGGUGAAAUCCCGGAGCUCAACUCCGGAACUGCCUUUGAUACUGGGUAUCUGGAGUAUGGAAGAGGUGAGUGGAAUUCCGAGUGUAGAGGUGAAAUUCGUAGAUAUUCGGAGGAACACCAGUGGCGAAGGCGGCUCACUGGUCCAUUACUGACGCUGAGGUGCGAAAGCGUGGGGAGCAAACAGG
rnacentral:rRNA from 1 species